GUGUUGAUAAGGCCAAUAAUGACAGUUGCUUGCCCUCGUGUGUUGAAAGCGAGUUAACUAUAGUUCAUACAUCGAUGCGGCGCGUGCCAAACCAAGCGAAGAGAGGAUCUCUUAUUAAUAUUGGUAUGAUAUCCUUGCCUACUUUACGUUAUCGUAAAAACUUACUGCGCAAUGAUUUGGAUUUAGUAGUGACUGUCGGAGGGAUGCUUGGACUGUUCUUUAGCGCAUCAGUAAUAAGUCUAGCGGAAGCUUUUUAUCUCAUUAUUAG